rnacentral:rRNA from 1 species
UACGUAGGGACCAAGCGUUGUUCGGAAUUACUGGGCGUAAAGCGUGCGUAGGCGGUCCGCGAAGUCUGAUGUGAAAGCCCCGGGCUCAACCUGGGAACUGCAUUGGAAACUAACGGGCUCGAGUGUGGCAGAGGGGGGUGGAAUUCCACGUGUAGCAGUGAAAUGCGUAGAGAUGUGGAGGAACACCGGUGGCGAAGGCGGCAUCCUGGACCGACACUGACACUGAGGAGCGAAAGCCAGGGGAGCAAACAGG